rnacentral:lncRNA from 1 species
GCCGUUGAUGAUUAUAGCGAUUUGGGGUUAGGUGACACAUGGAAAGCCUCAAUACAAACAAUCUCAAAUCCCUCUUUCGUCGAUCCUGCCUCAACCCUAAUUCCUUCACAUCAAUAUCAUGUAAACCACAAGGUCGCUUCUUUUAUUUACAUGCAUGAAAUUCAUUGCCUAAUAACUAACAACACGAUUCGUCCAAUAAAAUCGUAGAUGUUGAAUUCAAUGGUUUUAAUUCGAUUUCGUUUAUACGAUUUGACUUUUUCUUAUUCUAACGGCUACGAUUAUUGUAAGCCUUUUGAUUGGAUUUUGUUAUAACAACUAUUAUCCCAAUUAUUAUGGCUUUGGAGGUCUUCUAACAUGGAGAUGAAUUCAAGUUGAAUUAAUGACAUUUCGAACCGUUGACUUUUUGUAUUUGGGGUCAAUAAGUAGUGUCAUUACAUGGCUAUAUGGUAUUUUGUGUACAAAAAUAUGAUAUGAUGUGAGUAAGUUCCUGCCUGUUUCCUAAAUCAUUCAUUCGAGUGGUAAUCAACUCAUAAAAUAUAGUAUUUAACAGAGAUGUAUAGACUAGAGUUAUAUACUAAUCUGGGAGCAACUUCUAGGCAACUUCAUUAAGACUUAUUAAAAGCUAUAAAAGGAUGUAACGAGGAUUCAUUUCGAGUAUAUACUUUCAUUUCAUCUCUCUAAAAAAAAUCUCUCUAAACUCGGCCUUCUUUUUGCAUCUUUCUCUCUCUUCUGGUUUUCUAAAUCUGUAAAGAAAACUUCCCAAAAAAACCAGUCACAAUGUGACAUUAGACCUACAUAUUGCUAGAUAACAUAAGCACAACAACAUUUGGGUGUGUUUGGUUCGUUAGAUUCUGUGGGAUUUGUUCGAUUCCAUUAAUUCCCACGUUUGGUUGUUAAAAGUGCAUGAAAUUGACAGAUUUACAAACCAAACAGAAACAUACACAUAGGGAAUGAAUUGAAUUCUAUUCAAUCACGUGACAAGAUUCCUACUCCUAGAAGAAAAUAUUUUAUUUCAUGGUGACCGGUUUGAUUAAAGGCAAAGUGUGGGGGAUCCUUUACAAGUUUAAUGGUGGCGGGGCACUUGCUUUAUGAAGGUGAUGAUGGGUGAAUUGUGAUAAGGGAGUUGUCUACCUGCUUGUGGGACCAUGGGUUCAACCGCUGUUAUAUGCACCGAUAAAAUAGUUAUGUGGUGGACAUGGAGGUUCUGAAACGAAGUUGUACAAUCUCAAGAUGAAGAACAGUGCAACUUCGUUUCAGUUUCUCCAUGUCCACGACAUAUACUGUUUUAACGAUGCAUAUAACAGUGGUUGAACCCAUUGUUUCACAAGCAGGUAGACAAGUCUCUUUAUGCAACUACAUCAACCAUCAUUUGCUUCAUAAAUUCGAGAAAUUGGAAAAAGGUGUGACAAAUAAUCUCUUUUGAUUUCUUGUAUGUGUGAAAGACAUGAAUGUCCUUUUCAUUUUAAUCGUCUAAAAUAGUCUUAAAAAGUUUGUCAAGUCAUAUAAUAAAUACAUACUACAAUGACGAUACAGAUGGUAUGUGUGAUCGUCAUUUUUUCGGUUUUUGUAUUUUAUAAAGCUUGUUUGAAAAAAGCUUUUCCAUGUCUAUAUAUAAAUAUCUGUUGGGUUACUAUCUAGAAAGUAUUGAGUUUCACAUUCAUGUAUUACUAAAAUGGUACAAGAACUUGUGACCAAGUUGACUGGAUCUACCUUUUGAAUUGUGUAAGAGAAAGAGUCAAAAGAAGUCUGGUGAUUGUACCGAGUCGAAUGCCAUCUUAUUUUUUGUUAAUUUUAAAAAUUAUUAUUAUAUUGAGUAAUAAAAAUAUUAAUAUCAAAACAAUACUUCAAAUUGCUAAAUAGAAUAAUAGUUAUUCACUAUAAAUGACAAUAUCUGAGAUUAUUU